CAAAGACUGGUAAACUGGGAAUAGUUUAAAGUUGGAGUCAUAAAGUACCUUACUAUCACAUUGGGAUAUAAUAUCAACUGAUGGAGAGAUAUUAGGAGACGUCGUUUGUUGGUAUUGGACAGCCAGUGACAAUCAUUAUUUUUUUAAUUGAUAGCUCCGGUUCCUAUAAUGUACAUGUAGAUGAUUGUUGGGCUCAUGAUAAUCCAAAUUUGGACUUUUCUGGUCAUAAACUUAGUUUGACAAAACGUUCAAAAGGCAAGAAGAAAAUAAUGAAUGAAUGGAAGAAAUUCAAGAGCCCAGUGGAACACAAAACUUUAUUAUAUUCGAAUUUCACUUCAUUUAGGUUUCCCGAAAAAGAAGAAAUAUUCUUUUCAUGCAAUGUUGAGAUUGACAGAAGUUUAGGAAGCGAAAUCAGAUACCUUUGGGAGCCUCAUUACCGUUUACCAAACACUGAAUUGAGGUAUGGUUCACACAUAGUCAGAUGAGGUUAUAAGGAUUAUCAACUGUCGUCAUCAAAAGUACAAUCACUAUAAAAAAAAAACAAAUUGAAAAAAUACUGUUUGUCCUAUAAGAUCAUCUUUCUCGAAGGGAAUGUAUAUUUAUGUUAUAUUUAUUUCUCUUGUAUCAGAUGAGUGCUAUUUUUGUUAAUAAAAUGUGUAAAA
rnacentral:misc_RNA from 1 species